rnacentral:rRNA from 1 species
AACGAACGCUGGCGGCAGGCCUAACACAUGCAAGUCGAGCGCGCCCUUCGGGGUGAGCGGCGGACGGGUGAGUAACGCGUGGGAACGUGCCCUUUUCUACGGAAUAGCCUCGGGAAACUGAGAGUAAUACCGUAUACGCCCUUUGGGGGAAAGAUUUAUCGGAAAAGGAUCGGCCCGCGGUGGAUUAGGUAGUUGGUGGGGUAAUGGCCUACCAAGCCGACGAUCCAUAGCUGGUUUGAGAGGAUGAUCAGCCACACUGGGACUGAGACACGGCCCAGACUCCUACGGGAGGCAGCAGUGGGGAAUCUUGGACAAUGGGGGCAACCCUGAUCUAGCCAUGCCGCGUGAGUGAUGAAGGCCUUAGGGUUGUAAAGCUCUUUCAGCUGGGAAGAUAAUGACGGUACCAGCAGAAGAAGCCCCGGCUAACUCCGUG